rnacentral:piRNA from 1 species
UCACUCACCAUUUGCACACGU